AUUCCAAUGUGGGAACCCACACUCAUUUGUUAAAUUCUUGCGCCGGUAAAUUUCGUAUUCGCCGGCACGUAAUGUACCCGAUGACGUCAUUUAAACAGUUGACACGUUAAGUCCAAUAAACGAAAGAAACAAAACAUUGCGUGUUUCUGACAAGUGUGGGCUUUUUAUAGGGAAAGGGCUUACAUAUAAUGGGGUUGGUAAGUUUAAAGUGUUAAGUCAUCGCUCAUUAAUGUAUCCAUCCAAUUCAAGAAAUAGUUCACACACAAAUACAAAUACUAAUGAAAAAUAGACAUUAAACGUACGAAUAACGAAACUGAUUCAUUUUAAAUGUUUGAAACAUAGUGAAGAUACACCAAUUCUGUUUCUAGGCAUUACACAUAAGGUUUGUUUCUGUUCAAAUAACCCUAAAAUUCAAGCACUAAGUGAUGUUUUCAAUACCUUUUUUUUACUUUGGUUCGGUGUCGAUGUCUCCUUGAUCCACAGUCAGAUCACCAACCUAAAACCAAAGCAACAUGAUGACAGUUUCAUAAUAAAGUAAGUAUUAAAAAGGAGAAGCCAAUAGAAUUACAAG